rnacentral:rRNA from 1 species
GACGAACGCUGGCGGCGUGCUUAACACAUGCAAGUCGAACGGUAAGGCCCUUCGGGGUACACGAGUGGCGAACGGGUGAGUAACACGUGGGUGAUCUGCCCUGCACUUCGGGAUAAGCCUGGGAAACUGGGUCUAAUACCGGAUAGGACCACUGCCGGCAUGGGUGGGGGUGGAAAGCUUUUGCGGUGUGGGAUGGGCCCGCGGCCUAUCAGCUUGGUGGUGGGGUGAUGGCCUACCAAGGCGACGACGGGUAGCCGGCCUGCAGAGGGUGACCGGCCACACUGGGACUGAGAUACGGCCCAGACUCCUACGGGAGGCAGCAGUGGGGAAUAUUGCACAAUGGGCGCAAGCCUGAUGCAGCGACGCCGCGUGAGGGAUGACGGCCUUCGGGUUGUAAACCUCUUUCAGCACCGACGAAGCGCAAGUGACGGUAGGUGCAGAAGAAGGACCGGCCAACUACGUGCCAGCCGCCGCAGUAA